rnacentral:rRNA from 1 species
UACGGGGGGAUGCAAGUGUUAUCCGGAAUCACUGGGCGUAAAGCGUCUGCAGGUGGUUUCCUAAGUCCACUGUUAAACCUUGAGGCUCAACCUCAAAUCUGCAUUGGAAACUAGGAGACUUGAGUAUAGUAGGGGUAGAGGGAAUUUCCAGUGGAGCGGUGAAAUGCGUAGAUAUUGGAAAGAACACCGAUGGCGAAGGCACUCUACUGGGCUAUUACUGACACUCAGAGACGAAAGCUAGGGGAGCAAAUGGG